rnacentral:rRNA from 1 species
CGCGUAGGCGGUUCAGCAAGUUGGAUGUGAAAUCCCCGGGCUCAACCUGGGAACUGCAUCCAAAACUACUGAGCUAGAGUACGGUAGAGGGUGGUGGAAUUCCCUGUGUAGCGGUGAAAUGCGUAGAUAUAGGAAGGAACACCAGUGGCGAAGGCGACCACCUGGACUGAUACUGACACUGAGGUGCGAAAGCGUGGGGAGCAAACA